rnacentral:lncRNA from 1 species
GUUUAAUGAUAUUUAUUGAGACACUUGUGCUGGUUAUCUUUAUUUUUUUCAACUUGACAUAUGCUAGAGUCUUUGGGAAAGACUGUCAAUUGAGGAAAUGCCUGUAUACAAUUAGCUUAUAGUCAGUCUAUAGGCAAACCUGUGGAGCACUUUUGAAAAUUAUUUUUAUUAGCAUGUCUUUUUGUAUAAAGCAACACAACUUAUGACUUUUUGUUGAAGUAUGUUAUAUAUUUUGACUAAAUUCACUCCCUGUCACCCUCUUCUGUUUCUUUCCCUGUCUACAUCCCAAACACUAUCCUUUCUACUUUGAAGUCGUAUAGGGAAGAGCAUAUGUUAUUUGUGGAGGGUAAAUGAACAUAUAUGUACAUAUAUGCACAUAUAUGCUCUAGAUUGCAGAUACAGCAAAAAAAAAAUCUGUCUGACUUAUUUUCUAACCAGAACAAAAAGAUUUUGACAAAAAAAAAACACUAUUAGGAGUAACAGUAACUUCUUAGAACAAUCCAUAACUGGUGGAUUAAUUACUUUUCUGGUGUUGUGCUAAAACACCCUGACCAAGGCAACCUGUGGAAGGAAAAUUUAUUUUGGCUUAGAAUUCCAGAAGGGUGAGAGUCUUUGAUGGCAGAAGACAUAGAACCAAGCAGCAGACAUGGGAGCAUAAAGAGAAAGCCAAGAACUCACAUCUUGAAAUACAACAAGGAAGUGGAGACAGCAAACUGGAAAUGGCCCGAGUGUAUCAUCUCCAAGUGUACCCAUACUUCCUCCAGCAAGCUGUAUCCCCCUCCCCUCUGGAAAUGACACCAACUGGUGACCAAGUGGUCAACUGCUGGGGAUGCUAAUUGGGGGGCAUUUCUCAUUCAAGCCACUCCAGUGGGUAUUCUUAUUAAAGACUGAAGGCACAUACAUUGAGGGCAAGUCCCAAGACUGUAGAUUUCAGUAUACUCUUCUGUUGCAAUUCAGUAGCACUGUGAAUCCUGGGGGCCUAAACUUGAUGAUCCAACUAAUAUACCAGAAAGCCCUUUCUGCCUAGAAUAAGUAGCAGAGACUCGUAAGUUCUGGCUCCACAUGGUGGACUUGCCCCUUCCUAUGAAAUGUGAAGAGGACCCCUUGGACAUGCAUUUCUUUCUUUUGGGCAGACACCAUGCUUUAUUGGCCCUUUGCUUCCUCUCAGCUCACUGAAGGGAGACUCCCAACAUAAACAUUUUUCUGGAUGCUUUUAGGGGGAAUCUCAUGUGUGCUCAUGAAUAAAUAUUGACAAUUUGUUUAU